GUUUAGCUCUUGGCAGUAUUAAUGAAUUGCAGAAUUCUGGGAAUUCUCAUUAUUUUGACCCGACGUGUAACAUGCCGACAAGAGAGGGCGACGAAGGACACAGGUUUCCGUUCGUCAUAGGUUAUCAAACCCGGGGAAAAGACCCAAAAAAUCUGACCGACAACAGAGAGCAUGACUACGAUCACUGGGUGAAGUACGUGCACGUCGUCGUCAAUGACACAUGUAGGUAUCUCCAGAUUCUGAACCUCCGCCUGACCAGAACUCAAACUUAUACGAAAGUAAACACUUAGAGCUCGAUGGUUUUGAAAUACAGUAAUCCCAUUUAAUAACUUUGAAUGUAACGUUAGGCCACAGCAAGUAAAUUUAAUGGAUGACAUCCUCCGCAGACUCCCAAUCUAAUGCGAG